UACGGAGGGUGCAAGCGUUGUUCGGAAUCAUUGGGCGUAAAGCGCACGUAGGCGGCUUUCUAAGUCGGGGGUGAAAUCCCGGAGCUCAACUCCGGAAUUGCCUUCGAUACUGGAAAGCUUGAGUCCGGGAGAGGUGAGUGGAACUGCGAGUGUAGAGGUGAAAUUCGUAGAUAUUCGCAAGAACACCAGUGGCGAAGGCGGCUCACUGGCCCGGUACUGACGCUGAGGUGCGAAAGCGUGGGGAGCAAACAGG
rnacentral:rRNA from 1 species